rnacentral:rRNA from 1 species
UACAGAGGGUGCGAGCGUUAAUCGGAAUUACUGGGCGUAAAGCGCGCGUAGGCGGCUUUGCAAGUCGGGUGUGAAAUCCCCAGGCUUAACCUGGGAACUGCAUUCGAGACUGCAUUGCUAGAGUAUGGGGAGAGGGAAGUGGAAUUUCCGGUGUAGCGGUGAAAUGCGUAGAUAUCGGAAGGAACAUCAGUGGCGAAAGCGACUUCCUGGACCAAUACUGACGCUCAUGUGCGAAAGCGUGGGGAGCAAACAGG